rnacentral:rRNA from 1 species
CGGGUAGGAGUAACGCGUGAGGAACCUGCCUCAAAGAGGGGGACAACAGUUGGAAACGACUGCUAAUACCGCAUAAGCCCACGGCUCGGCAUCGAGCAGAGGGAAAAGGAGCAAUCCGCUUUGAGAUGGCCUCGCGUCCGAUUAGCUAGUUGGUGAGGUAACGGCCCACCAAGGCGACGAUCGGUAGCCGGACUGAGAGGUUGAACGGCCACAUUGGGACUGAGACACGGCCCAG